GGGGGGAGGCCGGAUCCUGGGCUGUGUCCCAGCGCCCAGUGCUCCCGGGCCUGCGCUGUUGGAUUCGCGCUCCCGGGCCACGCAGCCCCCU
rnacentral:pre_miRNA from 1 species